GGUUGAAUGAAUGCCAAGUACAUCUAAAGAAAAUAUUUUUAUCAAAUAAUCAAAAGUAUUUAAUCAAAAAAUUCUUCCAAAAACCUGCGAUGGUAUUCUUUUGUCACAGUUGAAAAAUAAGCUAUAUGAAUUCUACUAAAACAGGUGUCAGGGGUGUCUUGCAGGGUGGAGAGAGUAUUUUUGCUAUGUGUUGAUGACCUCACUGUGACUUUUAUAUGAAGAACAGCAAUUAAAGCACUGUUCCUUUACUUUUUGUACAAUUUUUGCAGUCCUUGUACUGUAUCAUGGACGGAUCCCCAAUAUCCUAUGCUUUUCCAUCAUAUGACAAGUAAAGCAGCUGAUUGAAUUCCUUUAUUAGGAUGACAACACUGAGUUAUAACACUGUACAAGUAUCAACAACAGAUAUAGCUUAACACUUGCAUAGAGUAGUAUAAAGUAACGAAUAACAAAUGUAUACUGUCAGACUUUUUAAACUGAUUCUACAGUUAUUGGUUUUAAAUAUGUGGACAUCUUUUCAAUCAUAAGCCACACCAGUAGCCAGGGUAGUUUUGAGGGGUUAAAUGUACCCUCUUCUGAAAACAAAAAGAUAUUUAACAAAUAUUCAAGUUGAGAUUCCCAUUAAAGGAGUAAGGGCAGAUUUUGGCCUCAAAUUUCAGGUUCAUCUAACAAAAGUUUGUGGACACUUUUUAAACACUUAAGUGUCUAUUUCAAAUGAUUCGAUCAGUUUAUGUGAAAGAUUUUAACUGAUUUAGUCAAUAAAAACGCUCUGAUUCAAGUUUAAAUAUGAAAAAUCUAUCAAAUAUGCCAAAAACAUCACUUUUCAGAAGGUUUUUGUCAAAAAUGAUAGUGGCGGCAGCCAUGUUCAUUCUCAACCUUUAUAUAUGUUUUGUAUUAUCAUCAAAUACAACUAACAUUUCAAUAUUAUGAAUGAACAUGAUUGCGUGUACUUUCAUUUUAGAUGGAAACCGUCUAAAAAUUAACCAAAAUGCUAAAAUUUUGAAGAUUGCAGUAAUUUAGCAUGACUUAAUGAUGCUAGAACGCGAUAUUUGUGCAUGGUAUUGUCAAAAACAGCUCAUAUUAAUGUAGCAGAAGCAUUUUACUUUCUAAAAUAUGGCUUAAAGAUUACAUUUUAACAAUUUGCUAAAACUGCUAUAUUUUGGGGCCAAAAAGGGGUCUUACUGAACCUUCUCCUUUUAAAUUCUUAAAAAUUCAGAGCUUUGUGUCCCUAAUUAAAUGACUCAUUAAUGACACUUGAAUCAAAAAAGUUAAAAAAAGGCUGAAUAAAAUUCGAAUUUGAGGAGCAUUGAGGAUCCAAAAUUCACAAUUUUAUGAGGAAUGACUGUACAAAUUGUGGUGCACACUAAAGAAAAUACAUGUAGCAGGUUAUUUAAUAGUGUGCACCACAUUUUUUUGUUUUUUUUUAAAUUGUUAGAAAAAAUAUUAGUCACUUUAUAAUUUAAUUCUAAAUUCCAUUUCAAGCCAGAGUAAAUCAUGAAAAAAUGUCGAUUACAUUAUGGUCACAUGACAUUAUUAUGUUUAUGAGUUGAUAAAAAAACUUUCAGCCAAUCAGAAAACAUGUCAUACAUCCAAAAUUUAAUUAUUCUAAUUUAACCAGUUACAUAUUUUAAGGUUAAUCAACAGAUUACCCUGCAAAAUAAGUAAUUUCAUAACUGAUGCUAAAAAUAUUUUAAAGAUUAAUUUUAGAAAUCUUUUUUGAUUAAAAAGUUACUUUUUUCCUUCUUAAAAGAAUUUAUGAACAACAUUUCAAUGAAAAAUGAGAUAGGUAUGGGUGUUUUUUCCUUAUAUAAAUAUAUAAUACAUGUUUCAAAAUUAUCAUCUUUUAAAAAUUAAGCAAAUGAUGUGUAAUUCUAGUUAGAAUCUGCAUGCAUUAUAACAUGAUAAAAUGUACAAAUGUAAAUGGUUACACUGAAUGAAUGACUGAUUGACUAGUGCAUGCUUAAUGUGCAGUGAAUCAUAGUAUAAUUAUAUUCAUGAUCACAUUUGAAUUUUAUAUGAAUAUGACUAACAAGAUGAUCAAGAAAUAUUACAUAUGAAAUCCAUGGACAAAUUUAACAUUUUUUCAAUAGACAGUGACACAUUUUUUUUCAUAAUUGUAGCACUUUAUGUGAAAAAUUGCUUGUAAAAGGAUUUCAAUAGUGGCUAAAUUUUACAUUCCCUUUAAAAUGAUAACUUAUAAAGUGUAGCAUGCUGGUUUUAGAUAUUGUGUACUUAUCAUGAUGUCUAAAGAAAACGAUUUUUAAAAUUUCUAUGCAAAUUAUUGGUCUGUCAUAAGUUAGCUCCCCUGUUAAUAGCAGAUUUUUGGUAAAAAGUAAACAGAAUUCAGUUAUUAUUAAAUGAAAAAAUAUAAACACACAAAUCAAUAUCAAAAUUCAUUAUUUGUCAUCAAAGUUGAAGACAUUGUUUUUGUUUUUUCCAAGUCAAAUUAAGACUCAAAUACAUUGCAUAUACAAGUAGCAUACACACUAAUAAAUAAAGA
rnacentral:lncRNA from 1 species